rnacentral:sRNA from 1 species
UCCUGGAUACGUUAAUGCUCUGGCGCGC